rnacentral:rRNA from 1 species
CGAACGCUGGCGGCGUGCUUAACACAUGCACGUCGAACGGAAAGGCCCCUUCGGGGGUACUCGAGUGGCGAACGGGUGAGUAACACGUGAGUAACCUGCCCUUGACUUCGGGAUAACUUCAGGAAACUGGGGCUAAUACCGGAUAGGAAUCCUUGCUGCAUGGUGGGGGUUGGAAAGCUUCGGCGGUUUUGGAUGGACUCGCGGCUUAUCAGCUUGUUGGUGGGGUAGUGGCUUACCAAGGCUUUGACGGGUAGCCGGCCUGAGAGGGCGACCGGCCACAUUGGGACUGAGAUACGGCCCAGACUCCUACGGGAGGCAGCAGUGGGGAAUAUUGCACAAUGGGCGGAAGCCUGAUGCAGCAACGCCGCGUGCGGGAUGACGGCCUUCGGGUUGUAAACCGCUUUCAGCAGGGGCGAAGCUUGUGGUGACGGUACCUGCAGAAGAAGCACCGGCUAACUACGUG